GAAUCCGCYAAGGAGUGUGUAACAACUCACCUGCCGAAUGAAUUAGCCCUGAAAAUGGAUGACGCUGAAGCGGAUAGCCGACACCACGCCGUCUGAACAAAGUGGUUUUUCAGAUGAGUAGGAGGGCGUGGCGGUCGUAUGGAAGCGCUCGUGCGAACGGGCGUGAAACGGCCGCUAGUGCAGAUCUUGGUGGUAGUAGCAAAUAUUCAAGUGAGAUCCUUGAAGGACGAAGCGGGGAAGGGUUCCACGCGAACAUUGAUUGAGCGUGGGUGAGUCGUUCCUAAGCCGAGUGGCCAUUGCUAAAUACCGGCGAAAGGGAAGCGGGUUGACAUUCCCGCACACGGAUGUGGAGGCGGUGACGCCGUAAAUGGGGUGGUUACGUUGGCGGUGGCUCUGGGCAGAGUUGUCUUUUCUGUUUGACCGUCAGUGUUUGCUGUGUGGAAUCCGCUUGUCGGGAGAAACACGCAGGCACGGGCAGAGCGCCGGGGCUUUUCCGGCGUCCAGAUCGCCACCGACGACCCUUGAAACACCAUCUGCUGGGCAGCAAUUUUUGUUGUUUGUAAAAUCCACGCCGUGACGUACCGAUUACCGCAUCAGGUCCCCAAGGUGAACAGCCUCUGUCCAAUAUGAAUAAUGCAGGUAAGGGAAGUCGGCA
rnacentral:rRNA from 1 species